UUAAAAAUCAGCGAAGUCUACUUCACAGACUUCAGCUUUAUUAUUCAGUUUGUUAUUUGAACAAAGUUUUAAAAAGUUCCCGAGAUGAAGAUGCAGUGUAAACCAAAGUGUAAACAUCUGUUACAGUAGAAGAGAGCAGGAGCUGGCUACAGUGCAAGGUUAUGGGCUUAUUCCAUGGAGCGGUUUACGUAAACAAAUGAGAUCUUGAAAGGCAUUAAGUUGCUGAAGUUGUAUGCCUAGGAGAGUAUAUUCUGCACCAGUGUGGAGGAAACUAGGAUGAAGGAACUGACCAGUCUGAAGACAUCCGCACUGCACACUUCCCUCUCCGGUGUUCUGAAGCUGAACAAAUUAUUCACAAGUAACCAGAUCUGGGAUGACACCAUGAGGAAUGGAGAUUCCCCCUGCUUGUUAGAUGCCUGCAAGAAACAUCCUGGAAUUGUAUGUGUCAUAAUAGAUUUAUAU